GACGAACGCUGGCGGCGGGCUUAACACAUGCAAGUCGAACGGAAAGGCCCUGCGUUUGUGGGGUGCUCGAGUGGCGAACGGGUGAGUAACACGUGAGUAACCUGCCCUUGACUUUGGGAUAACUUCAGGAAACUGGGGCUAAUACCGGAUAGGAGCUCCUGCUGCAUGGUGGGGGUUGGAAAGUUUCGGCGGGUGGGGAUGGACUCGCGGCUUAUCGGCUUGUUGGUGGGGUAGUGGCUUACCAAGGCUGUGACGGGUAGCCGGCCUGAGAGGGUGGACGGCGACAGUGGGACUGCGAGACGGACCAGACUCGUAUGGUAGGCAGCGGUGGGGAACAUUGUACAAUGGGACGACGCGUGAUGCAGCAACGCUGCGUGCGGGAUGACGGCUUGUGGGUUGUAAACAGCAUCAGCCUGUGACGAAGCGUGAGUGACGGUACUGGGUAAAGAAGCACCGGCUAACUACGUG
rnacentral:rRNA from 1 species